CAUAUUUGAGGAGAGGUUGUCCAUCUUAAGUUCACCCCAUUUGUCAUGAGUAAUACCCAGUUAACCUCUUUUUGAAUAUC
rnacentral:pre_miRNA from 1 species